rnacentral:rRNA from 1 species
GAUGAACGCUGGCGGCGUGCCUAAUACAUGCAAGUCGAGCGAACAGACGAGGAGCUUGCUCCUCUGACGUUAGCGGCGGACGGGUGAGUAACACGUGGAUAACCUACCUAUAAGACUGGGAUAACUUCGGGAAACCGGAGCUAAUACCGGAUAAUAUAUUGAACCGCAUGGUUCAAUAGUGAAAGACGGUUUUGCUGUCACUUAUAGAUGGAUCCGCGCCGCAUUAGCUAGUUGGUAAGGUAACGGUUUACCAAGGCAACGAUGCGUAGCCGACCUGAGAGGGUGAUCGGCCACACUGGAACUGAGACACGGUCCAGACUCCUACGGGAGGCAGCAGUAGGGAAUCUUCCGCAAUGGGCGAAAGCCUGACGGAGCAACGCCGCGUGAAUGAUGAAGGUCUUCGGAUCGUAAAACUCUGUUAUUAGGGAAGAACAAAUGUGUAAGUAACUAUGCACGUCUUGACGGUACCUAAUCAGAAAGCCACGGCUAACUACGUG